UGGCGGUCGAGGAGCGACGGCGCGCAAUGUUUACAGUCGGGUCAGCUGGAAGCGGCCGGUUGUAAGCUGCCGGAAACAUCGUAGGCACGUAUGCAGGGUGACUCAUGGCAUCGUUUUUCUCGUUUCCCACGAAGUGCCGG
rnacentral:lncRNA from 1 species